UACGAAGGGGGCUAGCGUUGCUCGGAAUCACUGGGCGUAAAGCGCGCGUAGGCGGUUCGUUAAGUCGGAUGUGAAAAUCCGGGGCUCAACCCCGGACCUGCAUCCGAUACUGGCGGACUGGAGGCAGGCAGGGGAGAUCGGAAUUCCUGGUGUAGCGGUGAAAUGCGCAGAUAUCAGGAGGAACACCGGUGGCGAAGGCGGAUCUCUGGGCCUGUCCUGACGCUCAGGCGCGAAAGCUAGGGGAGCAAACAGG
rnacentral:rRNA from 1 species